AACGUCAUCUGCAGUCGACGAUUCCUACGGGAGGCAGCAGUGGGGAAUCUUGGACAAUGGGCGCAAGCCUGAUCCAGCCAUGCCGCGUGAGUGAAGAAGGCCUUAGGGUCGUAAAGCUCUUUCGCCUGUGAUGAUAAUGACAGUAGCAGGUAAAGAAACCCCGGCUAACUCCGUGCCAGCAGCCGCGGUAAUACGGAGGGGGUUAGCGUUGUUCGGAAUUACUGGGCGUAAAGCGCGCGUAGGCGGAUUGGAAAGUUGGGGGUGAAAUCCCGAGGCUCAACCUCGGAACUGCCUCCAAAACUCCCAGUCUAGAGUUCGAGAGAGGUGAGUGGAAUUCCAAGUGUAGAGGUGAAAUUCGUAGAUAUUUGGAGGAACACCAGUGGCGAAGGCGGCUCACUGGCUCGAUACUGACGCUGAGGUGCGAAAGUGUGGGGAGCAAACAGGAUUAGAUACCCUGGUAGUCCACACCGUAAACGAUGAAUGCCAGUCGUCGGGCAGUAUACUGUUCGGUGACACACCUAACGGAUUAAGCAUUCCGCCUGGGGAGUACGGUCGCAAGAUUAAAACUCAAAGGAAUUGACGG
rnacentral:rRNA from 1 species